rnacentral:tRNA from 1 species
GGCCAUGUAGCUCAGCUGGAAGAGCACCGGAUUUCGAAUCCGGAUGUCGCGGGUUCGACUCCUGCCAUGGCCCCCA